rnacentral:lncRNA from 1 species
GACAACUCAAAUUAUAUUAACUUCGUUUCAUUAAAUUCCUUUACUAUUAUUCAAUAUUUUAAGCAUUCACCCUCAACAUAAAAUGCAGAGUUCAACUCCAUGGCAAGAAUGAGAUAUACUGAUGCCAAACAUAAUAAAAGGAACAAAAUUUACACACACUUUCCAAUAUCAAAUACAAAUUACAAUAAUAUUAGAAUCUCCCUCCUCACUACUAAUCAAACCAGCCCCUUUCCUUUCGAAUUCCCUUUGUCAAUCCUUUUCCCUUGUGGAAUGUCACAUUUAAUAAAAUCUCGACGUCUCCUUUUGCACUUAUUCGAGCUAGCGUUUCAAAUAGGCUUGAUAAAUCUUCGACGACUUCCUUGGCAGCAGGAUUCACUGCUUGAUUCUACUAGUACGACCAUGUAUAGCAUUCCUUCAUCCCAUUCUAAGAUGCAAAACAACCACAUAAAACAAAUGUCAAUACUACGCGAACUAAGAAGAUCGAGAAUAAUUCAUGUUCAAUGCUAAAGUUUUCAAAACUUAAAAUCACAACACCUACAAAAGUCAUUAGGUAUAUCCUCCUAAAGAACCAAAACCAUCCCCACAGUUCAUCCUAAACACUUUGCUGCAGUAGAGAACAAAGCAAUAAGAUGCAUAUCUUCUUCUAUUAAUCUCACCAACGCCAUCCCCCUUUUCAGGCUUACUGCUUUAAUUCUCAAACAAGCAAAUUCUUGACUAAAAAAGCUUGUCAUUCAUAGUCAUUGGUUCGCAACCAGGAAGUGUAGCCAUCUUAUCCAUAACCUCUUGAACACUACAUCCAGGUGGAUCGAUGCAUAUAUAGGAGCUCCUGUUUUUAACUGCUUCACGAAGUUCUUCAAGUUGUCUGCAUUGUUUUUUGUUGUUGAUUGCUUAUUUUUUCCCUUCCUUAGUCGCUUCCUAGUUGGCUCAACCACUUUAUCUUAGCGAUUGCUAUACCCUAUUUCCUCAUGGUUACCAUCAAAUUGUUCAUUUUCAGCAGAAUCAUCAUCUUCAAUAAUAGUUAUAUUUUGUGAAUAUAAAGAAUGCAUUACACCAGAUGUAGGCGCCCAAGCCCUUGCUCCAGUAGCUGUGACAUUGCGAAACAACUCAUCUAAUUUGAAUGCAUGAUCUAAGCCCUUCACACGAUAUUUUGCAGCUUCCAGAUAUUUUUGUUAAAUAAUUUAGAAUUUUAGAAAUAUUAUAUAAUUGGGUGUAUUAUAAUUAAAUAAAGAAAAUUGAAACACUUGUAGUUUUGUAACCCACCAUUCAUUUGGAGCACCUAUAGUUUGCCUUUCCAUAUCCCAAUCAAGUCCAGUUUUCCCCUCUUAACAAUGCAUCUCAUAGCUGCCACUCUUUCUUUACGACAUCCCAAUGAUUUUUUAGUUGUUUCCUAUCAUAAUCUAUAAUUGUUGCUUUGUUAAAGUUCUUAGUAAAAAGUUUCCAACCCUCUUUGCUCAAGUGUGUUCCAUUUCUGUUACCAGCCCUCACUUGUUCUACAACUACAUCAACCUAAAUCUCAUGUGUUCAUGCAUCCAAAUUGCUUUUGAUUUUCCCUUUAUUCCCUCAGUUGCCAACUACAUUUAAAAAUGUUGUUACACCCAAAUGAUUGAGGCCAAAUUCAUUGAUUAAGAAAGCCUCAAUUUGUAAAUUUGAACUGGUUAAAAAGUAGUGCAUCAUACUUACUUUAGGAUAAAACAUGCACUAUACUAUUUUGAAUUCCCAAAAAGCAAGAAUGCUAAAAAACAGAAGCAAGAAGAUUAUAAUAGCACAUCCAAAUUCAAUAAACAAGUCUAGUCGAGCUAAUUACUUUGCCAAAAAAAAAUUUCUAGCCAAUUAUAAUUUCGCAAUAAACUAAAAGCGUUUCACAUUAUGAAAACCCUACAUUUGGCCCCAGCUUCCAACAGCGGUUUGCUAGCAGAAAAUUUACGCCAAAUCAAACAAAUUGCUACAGAACUAAAACUAAGAAAGCAUACACUAUAUAUUUCUGAAUCCUCAAAAAGGAAUUAUAAAGAUUGAAAAAACAUAACAAGGCUUGCCAAGCUAAUUAGUUAGCCAAAAUUAUUGUAAAAUCAGGUAUACUCCCGUAAUAAUCCAAAAGCAUCCUCGAUAACUAAACCCUACCCUUGCCGCAAUUCCAAACAACGGUUUGCAAAAGUAAUUUUACACUGAAAUUCAAACAAACUGCUAUAAUAGAAAAAUAACGUUGUUGCAAAAUAAAAUGAUAAGAAAUUGAAGGUAAACUGCAAAAUCUUACAAAGAGAUGAGAGGAAUUCCUGCAGACACAAAUUAAAGAAAAGGAUUAGAGAAGAAGAAAUGAAGAGAAUUGAAAAGGUCGUGAUUUUUUAGGACAUGGUUGGAAUUUCAUUCUGUUCUUUACAAAUGUAAGGGUAAAAUUGGAAUUUUAAAUUU